rnacentral:lncRNA from 1 species
UUUGUGAGGGAUCUUAACUUGGAAUGCCCUAUCAUCAUCACCUUAAUUUUCUCUUCUUGUUUGGGUACCUUCUGUUGAUCCCCUAGGCAGUCUAACCUGUGGACAUGUUGUGUCCUGUUGGUACUUCAUUAUUAAUCAUACCACUGGACUUUGAUGUAAAUGAUUACAUUUCCUUUCUCUAGGGGGAUUGUGAACAUAUUAACACCAAAGUUCAUCUCUUAUUCUUUCUAGAUGUAUGAAUCAGGUUUCAGUAAGGCAAAAAUAAAUAAAACAUGACAUAAAAUGGUUCAUGGUGACCUCUAACCUUCUAAAAGUCCGCGGGGAGGAGUUCCUGAACAUGGAAACGCUGAACAAUUAACGGCCACAGGAGUUGGCACCAAAUGAAUUAAUUGUCUUAGAUAACUGAAGCCUGUCCCAUUGGCCCCGCACAGGAAGCUGGUGGCUAUCAGAACUUCACAGUAGGUUAUUCCUGCUACCGCCCUCCUGUAUUCUCUGGAGUGUGGGGCUGGCAGCAGGAAGUUCUGUGAGAAGUCAGAGGAUAAAGGCCUAUACAGAACCCAUGAACUUCAUUGAGUGCGGAGGCUGAUUAUCUACCCUAGGAAGAUGAUCCAGUGGGAAGAGAGGCCCCUUGGUAGGAAUGUGCCCUGCUACCUGUGUAGACUCAGCCUUUGUCAGCCUACUGAUACAGCAGCUCUCUUGAUCAGACUCUACCUCAUAAAACCUUAAUGUGAUUUAGAGAAUAAACAGACCAAGGGAAGAGCUCUCUGUGCUUUGAAAUACCGUUGCCAAAAUGCAGUGGAUUACUAAACAUGGGUCAAAGUGGCAGUCGUGCCAGGAGCCAGAUGAAUAGGAAGAAAUGAGUACUCUGAUUACAUUUCCUUUUGUGGUGUUCUGACGAUUGAAAUCAAGUAUCUUUAUCAAGAGAAAACCUGUGAGGGCUACAUCCACAGCCCACCCAGUUCCCCUGCGAGCUCCACUGCUCCUUCCUCUCCCGAUUCAUCGAGUAGACAUCUGUUGCCAAAACAUCACGUAUUCUGGCUCACUGUUAACUACUGCCAUUGGGAAAGCCCAAAUGCACAGCGGAUACUAGAAGAGUCAGAGAUAUGCUGAACUACAAUCUGUAUUGUAAGAAGACUUUCUGUGGAUUUAUAUGGAUUUAUAUCAAGUUUGGGAAGCCCCGGAUUCUAUCGAGAAGCCUUGUUACUAUUUUCCAAGAUUUGUUAACUAGCCUAGUCACCAGGCGUGAGGCUCUUAAGAAACAAAAGACUCUUCAUGUGUCUUCUUCAGCCCACUCUCUACUUUUAUAAAAGGACACUCACUGGCUUGAUAUAUUUGUUCCUCCAAUACUAAAAGUAUGAUGAAAAUAAUGUAAACCAACAAUCUUAUGGGAAAGAGAUUGGUACUAUCUGCUUUUUUUUUCUCCUUUCUAAGUCAGUCG